GAUGAACGCUGGCGGUAUGCUUAACACAUGCAAGUCGAACGGACUCUUCGGAGUUAGUUGCGGACGGGUGAGUAACGCGUGGGAAUCUGGCUUUGGGUUCGGGACAACCACUGGAAACGGUGGCUAAUACCGGAUGUGCCAAGAGGUAAAAGAGAAAUUGCCUGAAGAUGAGCUCGCGUCUGAUUAGCUAGUUGGUGAAGGAAAGGCUCACUAAUGCAGCGGUCAGUAGCUGGUCUGAGGGGAGGACCAGCCACACGGGGACUGAGACACGGCCCAGACCAAUACGGGAGGACGGAGUGGGGAAUUGUCCGCAGGGGGCGAGAGCCUGACGGAGCAAUACCGCGUGAGGGAAGAAGGCUCUUGGGGUGUAAACCUUUUUUCUUAGGGAAGAACAAAAUGACGGUACCUAAGGAAUAAGCAUCGGCUAACUCCGUG
rnacentral:rRNA from 1 species